rnacentral:rRNA from 1 species
AUUGAACGCUGGCGGCAGGCCUAACACAUGCAAGUCGAGCGAGCGGCGGACGGGUGAGUAAUGUCUGGGAAACUGCCUGAUGGAGGGGGAUAACUAUUGGAAACGGUAGCUAAUACCGCAUACCAUCAGAUUUGCCCAGAUGGGAUGAGCUAGUAGGGGGGGUAACGGCUCACCUAGGCUACGAUCCCUAGCUGGUCUGAGAGGAUGACCAGCCACACUGGAACUGAGACACGGUCCAGACUCCUACGGGAGGCAGCAGUGGGGAAUAUUGCACAAUGGGCGCAAGCCUGAUGCAGCCAUGCCGCGUGUGUGAAGAAGGCCUUCGGGUUGUAAAGCACUUUCAGCGGGGAGGCGUUACCCGCAGAAGAAGCACCGGCUAACUCCGUGCCAGCCGCCGCGGUAAUAC